rnacentral:tRNA from 1 species
UGGGGCUUAGUUUAGUGAUAAAACGUUAGAUUCCUAACCCAAAGUCAUUGGUUCAAUCCCACUAGCCCCUACAA